rnacentral:rRNA from 1 species
UGAAGGAGAAAGUUGUAACAAGGUUUCCGUAGGUGAACCUGCGGAAGGAUCAUUG